GUACGGGAGGCAGCAGUGGGGAAUUUUGGACAAUGGGGGCAACCCUGAUCCAGCCAUUCCGCGUGAGUGAAGAAGGCCUUCGGGUUGUAAAGCUCUUUCAGCAGGAACGAAACGGUGGCCACUAAUACUGGCUACUAAUGACGGUACCUGAAGAAGAAGCACCGGCUAACUACGUGCCAGCAGCCGCGGUAAUACGUAGGGUGCGAGCGUUAAUCGGAAUUACUGGGCGUAAAGCGUGCGCAGGCGGUUAUGUAAGACAGGUGUGAAAUCCCCGGGCUUAACCUGGGAACUGCGCUUGUGACUGCAUAACUCGAGUGUGGCAGAGGGGGGUGGAAUUCCACGUGUAGCAGUGAAAUGCGUAGAGAUGUGGAGGAACACCGAUGGCGAAGGCAGCCCCCUGGGUCAACACUGACGCUCAUGCACGAAAGCGUGGGGAGCAAACAGGAUUAGAUACCCCGGUAGU
rnacentral:rRNA from 1 species